CGUGAGCUCCGGCACUCUGUCCACAUCCACCUCCGUCUCCUCGCAGAUCUCCAGCACCACCUUUGAAAGCGUGAGAAGGAGCUGGCCACCAAGUGCCUGCGCCUUCUGACACACACCUUCAAUACUGAAUACAAGCAGCUGGUGAACAGCAUCAGUGACUGCAAGCUUUCUCUCAUCUCACCGAUCGGACGUGAUCCAUCCGUGACGAGCUUCAGCAGUGCCACCCUCACCCCUUCCUCUACCUGCCC